UACAGAGGUCUCAAGCGUUGUUCGGAUUCAUUGGGCGUAAAGGGUGCGUAGGUGGCGCCGUAAGUCGGGUGUGAAAUUUCGGAGCUUAACUCCGAAACUGCAUUCGAUACUGCGGUGCUUGAGGACUGGAGAGGAGACUGGAAGUCAUGGUGUAGCAGUGAAAUGCGUAGAGAUCAUGAGGAAGACCAGUGGCGAAGGCGGGUCUCUGGACAGUUCCUGACACUGAGGCACGAAGGCCAGGGGAGCAAACGGG
rnacentral:rRNA from 1 species